UACGAAGGGGGCUAGCGUUGCUUCGGAUUUGACUGGGCGUAAAGCGCACGUAGGCGGAUCUUUAAGUCAGGGGUGAAAUCCCGAGGCUCAACCUCGGAACUGCCUUUGAUACUGGGGAUCUCGAGUCCGGGAGAGGUGAGUGGAACUGCGAGUGUAGAGGUGAAAUUCGUAGAUAUUCGCAAGAACACCAGUGGCGAAGGCGGCUCACUGGCCCGGUACUGACGCUGAGGUGCGAAAGCGUGGGGAG
rnacentral:rRNA from 1 species